AUAGGCUUUGGCGGUACAUAUACUAAAAUUGGAACGAUACAGAGAAGAUUAGCAUGGCCCCUACUGGAAGCAGUUAAUUCCAUAAAUUAUCUGGGAGUGAUUUAA